CAAAGGCGGCGAGGCAACUCUAUUGUUUCUGCCAGCACUGAAGUGUCAGCACGCUGGGCGAUAAUAAAUCAGCUGCGGAUAAUGUCAACACCAUGGCCCCGGCGACCCCGAGUAAAUAUUUCUGCUGAUGACUUUGUCGUGUGUCGGUGGCGGUGUCACCCUAACAGUUUGAUGCGUUUUUGAUGCUGCUUGGGAUUAUCAUUAUUCGGGCUUCAAGUGGCAAUGGUCCUUGGAUUGAGGCUUUGACAAACGACAAACAGUUUUCUGGCGUUUCUGGCUUUUUGCGAGACGAGUGGCAUCGAUGACAAAGUGUUGACCCUGUCGCGCUGUUUGCUAAUUAAUUAGCCGUCUUUUGUCCGAAACAUCGAAGCUGUGCAGCGUCAAAAUUUUAAUUAAUGUUUGCCAUGUGAUUCGCCGGAAUUCCAAGCUCACAAACUUCGCACUACUUUCUCGCCUGGCGAAAGGACGACAUAGACGGCAGGACGAAAGUCGGAGACAAUGGCAAACAAUGCCAAACAUCGAGCAUCGUGAUGCCGCGUAACAAGGGGCACUUGUUCGCCAUCUAAUACACAACUAAAUUCCCCAGGCCCCACUUUAUCCGCCGGAAUGACAAUGACGUGGGGAGCCGGAGGCGUCCUGACAGCUAUCCACACCCGGGAUCUGAACUCCACGCACACUACACACUACUGAAGAAAACAUCCGCCCAUACUGUUAACCUAACUUUGGACCUUCUUUAGCUGUGUUUCUAGCAGUGCAUCUGUAUGCCUCCAUUUCCUGAAACACUCGCAUAAUUAGCUUUGAACGGCCCUCAAUUACUGGGCAACGCAGUGCCAUUGCUUCAAUGGUUAGUUGACAAUUGGAUGGGCAGAUGUCACAGGCAGAAAGCAAACAGUUCUCUGUAAACAAGGCUCAACCUUUGGAAUUGACCAUGGCAGCUAGGACAAGGAAAAAUCGAAUAUAAAGUAGUCCCCUAUUAAGACUGAAUGUUAGAAUAUAUAGGCA